AUUGAACGCUGGCGGCAUGCCUAACACAUGCAAGUCGAACGGCAGCACAGAUAUAGCUUACUAUAUUGGGUGGCGAGUGGCGGACGGGUGAGUAACGCGUGGGUAUAUGACCUAAUGACGGGGACAACUUGCGGAAACGCGAGCUAAUACCGGAUAAGCUCUGAGGAGGAAAGCUGGGGAUCUGGCGACAGACCUGGCGCUUUAGGAGUAACCUGCGUCCAAUUAGCUAGUUGGUAGGGUAAAGGCCUACCAAGGCGACGAUUGGUAGCUGGUCUGAGAGGACGGACAGCCACACUGGGACUGAGACAC
rnacentral:rRNA from 1 species